CACGGAGCUUGAGUGCGCUGCCCGGCCGGGCCCCCGCACCCCACCUCCCCUCUCCUCUGCCCCUCUUAGGGCGACGCGGCCGCCCCCGUGUCCCCGUCCCGCGGCCUGGGCGGAGCGGGUGGCGGAGCCGCCGCGGGAGGCGCCGCCGCGGCGUGGCGGGCGAGGAGGCCCCGGCGGACGCGCGGGAGGCCCGGCGGGGCCGGGGCUUGCCGGGGGGAAGAUGGCGGCUGGCCCGGCCGGGAAGGCGGUGGGGGCGCGCGGCGGGGACGCUCUAGCUGCCCGCCCGCCGGCGCGCUCCAUGGUGAGUCUGCCCGGCGCCAUCUUGGGCUGGUGACCGGGCGCGCCGGAGAGGGACAAAAUGGCCGAGGGCGGCGGAGCUGCGCGUCCCGGGCCCUGCCGCUGCGCCCCCGCCGGCGCUUCUCUCCCCGCCGGGGCUGCCUCGUCCCUGCCCCGACCGUGGCGGGGCACGGACUGUGGCGGGGCUGGGCGGCCGCUGCCAGCUGCCACCGCAGCGUAGGCAGGAGGGUAGGGGGCGUCCGGCUCCGCUCCCCCGUGCCUCCCGCGGCAGCGCUGCGGGUGCACGGCCCUUCAGCCCCCUCCGAGGUCGCAGCUGGGCUGCGGCGGCCUCGGCUGGUGCCGUGGUGCCUCGUCCUCCGUCCCCCAGCCCGGUUAGGUAAUGUCUGGGUAGGGAAGGAAAACGCCGACCCGGUAGUAGUCUGAGCCUUUGUUAUACUCUCCAAAGCUGCGUUGCAAUUCGCUUUUGAUGAACUACUUUCUAAUUAGAGUUCCAAUUUGCUGCUCCUCGCGCUUGCUUGUAAAAUAUUAACUCUUGAAGCUUCUUGAUGUAGUUGCAGCCUUGCAUCCAGGUGGCUUGGCCUCUUAAUUUAAGUGCGAUUGCAGUAGUCGUAGGGUUAAACCUCAAGCUGAACGCUCGCAGUGCUAGGCCAAUAUCCUUGCUUUGUGAAACGUGCAGUACAUGUUCUCUUAAACUGCAUAGUUGCUGGAAGAUGUUACCGUCUGGAUGGAAUUUUACUAAUAUCGCAGUAGAUGACCUGCUAAGCUUCACGUUUGUAAUGUAAAUCUGCAGUACAGGUUACCUGUAGUUUUUUCUUCAGUGAAUCAGUCUUGUUUUCCUUUGAGGUCUUUAAUUUUUACUACAACAGACAAGUGCAGUGCAGGGGUCAAUACUGUGUUUUGUUUUAUUUUUUUCAGCAUCAGUUUGUAAGCUUCUAACAUUGCAGCAUCAGAGGUAGUUGUGGAGGUGAUAAGUAGUUUAAAUUUUAAACCUUCACUGGAGGUGGCAAAAAAAAUGAAAGAGAAAGUCAUAAUUCUGAGCACAAAAUUGCAGUGUCUUGCAGUGUCUUUCUUCGAAUAUGGCCAUGUCUUACUCAGAUUCACUGUAAUCUUUAAUAGUAUGAGUGUUUCUACUUCAAGGUAGGUUAGGUUAGAAAAAUUUGGUCUUCAGGAAGCUAAAAAUGCUAGAUGGAAAUGAACGAUGGAAGAUAUAUCGAUUAAAGAAUAGACUUGUGCCACCCCCAGUAUUAUCUUGAUGUCUUCAUGUCACUCUUACAACUGGUAUAUUUUUAGUGAGGGAGUAUUGCUUCUGACUUGCUCAAGGUGGAUUUCUGUGUGGUAGGUUUUUUUAAAAAGUUGAUUUAAUUGCUAUUGUGCAAGUUGGACUGAAAACCAGUUCAAGAUGGUAGCCUAACUUUACUCAAGUUUGCCAGGAUAACCUGCAUUGUAUUUUCAAUCAGAAUGAGUGGAAAUAUUAAAACUUUUGUAGCAGUCUUUUUGAAAUAUAAUUGUGCAGGGAAUGAUAGGACUGCAGUUGCUGUCCCACCUACUUUUCUCUUUUAUCUUUUCUAUACUUUUAUUUAAAAAAAAAUUACAUGAAUCACGUGCAGGCAGUCUUCACCAAGGCUUAAAAUGAGUUAUGCCUGAACUUUCGUGAAUCGUAAAUAGGUUAAUGUUGAAGAAGGAAAAUGCGGAAGUCGCCAUUUGACAAGUUUUAUAAAUGAGAAUUAUUUGAAGCUCAGGAAUAAGUGAAGCUGAAAUUUGAAAAAAAAGAAAGUGAAUGCAUGCUAAUUAUCAGACCAGAAGUCCCACUUGUAGAAUAUUGAGCAAUUUGUGUGAAGUGGGGAAGAUGAAAGAAGUCAGAAUUUGAAACGGAAGAAUGAAGAAAAGGAAUAAAAAUGAAGUUAAGAUAAGAAGUAAUCUGGAAUCUGAAAGCACUACGCUAAGUAAUUACUAGUCUGUUUAUGUGUCCCUGUAUAUUUUGCUAAACAUGCAUGCAUUAUCUGUUUAAUAGCAAAAGUAUAUGCAGGGUAAAGAAGUGUCUACCAGGGAAAAAAAAAAACUUCUUAAAAAUCUAGGCAGUUCUAAU